AUUCCCUUCCUGUGCAGCUAGGUGCCAGAAGUGGAUUUGGACUCCAAAUCCCAGGUCAAAGGGGUCCCUGUCUGAGUCUCCCCUGUGGGUCAGCCUUGGUGCCCUUCACUGUACAACACCUACACCAGUGGGGUGGAUGCCAGCCUGGAAUUGGUGCCUGAAGUACAGACACAGAAGGACUGCUGGGCCCAGGCAUUGCUGCUAGUCCUUGCAGCAUCGGGACAUCUUCUCAUGAAUGUUCUACCACCCUUGUUUGGUUUUCCCUCAUUGCAGCAGAACCAGGUGACGGCAAAAGGCAUACCUGCACACACAAGGGAAGGCAAGUGGUAGAAUGACAGCUGGUAGCUGGAAGGCAGGAAGGGUGGACAGCUUCUUUCAAACAGCAGAAUUUGUUUCUACUGUCUGGAAGCUUUCAUGGCAUUACAGCCUCUGCUGACUAUCACCAGCAUGGAUAACUUACAAAGGAAAUGCCCCAGUUUAUAUUAGUCUCACUUGAAGACAGCUACAGAAGAAACUCCUAGGACAUUGAAAGCUCCCACCCUAGGAAAAACUUCAGGAAAAAGGAAUGCACGAGCAGGAUGUAACCCAUCUGAUGAUGCAUCUUCAAUCAAAGGUUUGUCAUUUACUGAAGAGAAAGGCUCAAGGGAGCAGAUCCUUCCAUGUUUUCAGUUGGCAUGGGUCCACAGAACAGCUGUGCCAAUUACUUCCAGUUGAGGACUACCACUGGGUGUAUAGCUGCUUGUACUGAAGUUGUUGCAAUUACUAUCAUUAUGUUAUUUCUUGGCAAGGAAAGGAGAAAGAUAAGUGAGUGUCUGGGGUGCUUUGUUUAACUGCGGUGGGCCACUUACUCAUGCCAACCACCGAGAGCUACUAGGAAGCAAGCACAGCGAGAAGUGAACUUCUUGGAAAUUUCAGAUUUAACACGGUAAGGAGACAAAGGGCCUUCUUAAUGAAACCUAAUAUACUUUAGGUCUGCCAGUUCCUUCAGAAAGGGAAAGCAUUUUUCAAUGUGUUAGAUUACUGCUGCACUACCUAUUAUGUGCUUGCUUUUAUGCAGCUGACAGAGAUCUUUACCACUGCUUUGACCUGCAGGAGCUACUCGUGUUAAUGCCAGCACCGAGGAAAACUAUCGCGUGGUUUACCUCCACCUGAGGAACCAUCUUGAUGACUUGCUCCAAAUGGUACACAACUAUUCACACACCUAUGAUCACAGUGCUGCGAAGGGAAGUCUUUAGACAAAAUGAAGAGUGGGCUGGAAGCUUCAGAUGGCAGCUAGGGGUGUGAAGGACUUCAGUGUCUUGUUGCUCGGCGUGCACAGCUGUGAGAGCCCUCUCACAUCAGGAAAGCUUCAGGGCCUCCUUCUAGCAAACCAACUGCCCCCAGUGCUCAGACAAACAUUGCAUUGCAUCUGGUCUGGAUGUUGCAUUGCAGCCAGUUCAACACAGCAUGUAUUGUGAAGAUGAUGUUUUCCUUUUUUUCCUCUUUUUGUACAGCAAAGCUUCAGCAGUUCCUGGCUGCAGCACGGAGGUACUGAACAGUUCACUGCAAUGCUCUGGGGCUCAGACCAAGCGUAGGGCAGCGCCACCAUCAGCAGGAGGGCCCCGUCCUACUCUAGCUUUGCCAAUGAAAUACGGAGAGAACCCUUUCAUACUUAAUGUAUGUGUUUUACUCAUUAAAGAGUGCAAUU
ensembl:lncRNA